GGGGGUGUAGCUCAGUGGGUAGAGCGCGUGCUUCGCAUGUACGAGGCCCCGGGUUCGACCCCCGGCUCCUCCA
rnacentral:tRNA from 2 species